AAGACUAUAGACCUGCGGAGUACCUGCGGAAGGAUCAUUACAGAGUUGCAAAACUCCCAAACCAUUGUGAACGUUACCUUCUCGUUGCUUCGGCGGGCGGCCCGGGUCCUUCCCGGCGCCCCCCGGCCCCUCGCGGGCGCCCGCCGGAGGUAAACCAAACUCUUGAAUUGUAUGGCCUCUCUGAGUCUUCUGUACUGAAUAAGUCAAAACUUUUAACAAUGGAUCUCUAGAUCGGAAGAG
rnacentral:misc_RNA from 1 species